GUAGCGCUAUCCCCCGACUGCGGUCGAAGAUCCGGCUACGGCUGUUGAUAUUCUGUUCUGUUCUGUUCUGUUCUGUUCCGACUUCAUAGUCGAAGAUCCAGCCUCGUGCUGUUGAUUUCUGUUAUUAGCCAGGGAGAUGUAUUUCUGCGUGUUUUUUGUGUUUUUGGAUUAUUCCAGUAUUCUGCGUAUUUUUUGUAUUCUGUAUGAAGCAUGAGCUAUUAUUCUGCAAUAUCUGCUAUAUCUGUUAUUUUCUGCGAUCCUACUGGGCCCUUGUGGCUCAUGCACUCUGUGAAUUCUGUUCUCGCAGGAGAAGAUCAAGUCUAGGAUCGGUGGGUGUCUGGGGGUCUUAUUGUCUGCUUUUAUCAAUAUCUCUAUAUUACCUUCUUGAGAGUGUUGCUUUGGUCUACAUGAUGAUUCUUUAUUUGAAGCAGAGGCUGUGGCGUUGAAAUCAAUUCUUCAAUAUCUACAUCAAAACAAUUUGAAGCCUAGGCAAAUGUUCAUCACCCAUGAGGAGUUAGCAAGAACUAUUAAGCAUGGGGUGCUUCUUCCAUGUUGGAGAACCACAAAUUUGUUGGUGAAUAUUGGUGCCAUGAUGAUGAUUCUGGGAGACAUUCAGCUGCAUACCAUUCCAAAACGUUGGGCCAAGGCUUCUUCUGGUUUAGCUGUUCACGGCCGUAAUUUACAUGAGUUGACUCUAUUUCAUCAAGGCUGUGAGCUUCCAAAAUGGAUCAUGAAAGUUAUUUCAGGCUUUGGGUCUUCACUUCUAAUAGUUUCCAGUUUUUUGUGUUUAGCCAGUUUCUCUUUUCUGAGUCUUUAUCUUUUAGCUUUUGCUUGUUUAAAUCCUUGCUCUUAGUUUUUUGUUAGUUUGUUUAUUUGCAAAGUUGUAUUCUCUAUUCUUUUAGUUUUCUGAUAAUAAAAAGCUUUU